rnacentral:rRNA from 1 species
UAGAAGGUCCUAAAUACCCUAAAGGCACCAGAUCCUGGCUAAUCUUGGAAGCUAAGCAGGUUCAGUCCUGGUUAUUACUUGAAUGGGAGACCACCAUUGAAUACCAGGUGUUGUAGGCU